UACGUAGGUGGCAAGCGUUGUCCGGAUUUACUGGGCGUAAAGGGCGUGCAGGCGGUCUGUUAAGUUCAGGGUGAAAGCUCCCGGCUCAACUGGGAGAGGUCCUUGGGUACUGGCAGACUUGAGGGAGGUAGAGGAGAGUGGAAUUCCCGGUGUAGCGGUGAAAUGCGCAGAUAUCGGGAAGAACACCCGUGGCGAAGGCGGCUCUCUGGGACGGUACUGACGCUGAGACGCGAAAGCGUGGGGAGCGAACAGG
rnacentral:rRNA from 1 species